AACGAACGCUGGCGGCAUGCCUAACACAUGCAAGUCGAACGAGACCUUCGUGUCUAGUGGCGCACGGGUGCGUAACGCGUGGGAACCUGCCCUUAGGUUCGGAAUAACUCCCCGAAAGGGGUGCUAAUACCGGAUAAUGUCUUCGGACCAAAGAUUUAUCGCCUUUGGAUGGGCCCGCGUUGGAUUCGCUAGUUGGUAGGGUAAAAGCCUACCAAGGAGACGAUCCAUAGCUGGUCUGAGAGGAUGAUCAGCCACACUGGGACUGAGACACGGCCCAGACUCCUACGGGAGGCAGCAGUGGGGAAUAUUGGACGAUGGGCGAAGGCCUGAUCCAGCAAUGCCGCGUGAGUGAUGAAGGGCUUAGGGUUGUAAAGCUCUUUUACCCGGGAUGAGAAUGACGGUACCGGGAGAAUAAGCACCGGCUAACUCCGUG
rnacentral:rRNA from 1 species